GUGGGGAAUUUUGGACAAUGGGCGCAAGCCUGAUCCAGCCAUGCCGCGUGCGGGAAGAAGGCCUUCGGGUUGUAAACCGCUUUUGUCAGGGAAGAAAUCUUCUGGGCUAAUACCUCGGGAGGAUGACGGUACCUGAAGAAUAAGCACCGGCUAACUACGUGCCAGCAGCCGCGGUAAUACGUAGGGUGCAAGCGUUAAUCGGAAUUACUGGGCGUAAAGCGUGCGCAGGCGGUUGUGCAAGACAGGUGUGAAAUCCCCGGGCUUAACCUGGGAACUGCAGUUGUGACUGCACGGCUGGAGUGCGGCAGAGGGGGAUGGAAUUCCGCGUGUAGCAGUGAAAGGCGUAGAUAUGCGGAGGAACACCGAUGGCGAAGGCAAUCCCCUGGGCCUGCACUGACGCUCAUGCACGAAAGCGUGGGGAGCAAACAGGAUUAGAUACCCGGGUAGUCC
rnacentral:rRNA from 1 species